rnacentral:rRNA from 1 species
UACAGAGGUCUCAAGCGUUGUUCGGAUUCAUUGGGCGUAAAGAGCGUGUAGGCGGCCCGGUAAGUCCGCUGUGAAAGUCGGGGGCUCAACCCUCGAAUGCCGGUGGAUACUGUCGGGCUAGAGUGCGGAAGAGGCGAGUGGAAUUCCUGGUGUAGCGGUGAAAUGCGCAGAUAUCAGGAGGAACACCAAUUGCGAAGGCAGCUCGCUGGGACGUAACUGACGCUGAGACGCGAAAGCGUGGGGAGCAAACAGG